rnacentral:misc_RNA from 1 species
UUUCCGUAGGUGAACCUGCGGAAGGAUCAUUACUGUGUAACCAAGCUUCGAAGCCUUCGUCUAACCCAACAAGUUCGGCGCUCCCGCGUGCCCCCACACAGCUCCCUCGCACCCCCGUGUGCACCACCGCGACGCUCCCCCUUUUGCCUGUUUGGGGGGCGGCCUGCGUUCUCUCUCCCUCUUUGUACACAAUGUACAAUGUCUUUUUUGUUUUUUCUUUCAUCCAAUCAAUACAACUUUCAACAACGGAUCACAUGGCUCCCUUAUCGAUGCAGAACA